rnacentral:rRNA from 1 species
CCUACGGGAGGCAGCAGUGGGGAAUAUUGCGCAAUGGGCGAAAGCCUGACGCAGCGACGCCGCGUGGGGGAUGACGGCCUUCGGGUUGUAAACCUCUUUCAGCUCCGACGAAGCGGAAGUGACGGUAGGAGCAGAAGAAGCACCGGCCAACUACGUGCCAGCAGCCGCGGUAAUACGUAGGGUGCAAGCGUUGUCCGGAAUUAUUGGGCGUAAAGAGCUCGUAGGCGGUUUGUCGCGUCGGCUGUGAAAACCUGGAGCUCAACUCCAGGCCUGCAGUCGAUACGGGCAGACUUGAGUGUUGCAGGGGAGACUGGAACUCCUGGUGUAGCGGUGAAAUGCGCAGAUAUCAGGAGGAACACCGGUGGCGAAGGCGGGUCUCUGGGCAACAACUGACGCUGAGGAGCGAAAGCGUGGGGAGCGAACAGGAUUAGAUACCCUGGUAGUCCACGCCGUAAACGUUGGGCGCUAGGUGUGGGGGCCAUUCCACGGUCUCCGUGCCGCAGCUAACGCAUUAAGCGCCCCGCCUGGGGAGUACGGCCGCAAGGCUAAAACUCAAAGGAAUUGACGGGGGCCCGCACAAGCGGCGGAGCAUGUUGCUUAAUUCGAUGAACGCGAAGAACCUUACCUAGGCUUGACAUGCGCGGAAAUCCUUCAGAGAUGGAGGGUCCGUAAGGGCCGUGCACAGGUGGUGCAUGGUUGUCGUCAGCUCGUGUCGUGAGAUGUUGGGUUAAGUCCCGCAACGAGCGCAACCCUCGUUCCAUGUUGCCAGCGGAUCAUGCCGGGGACUCAUGGGAGACUGCCGGGGUCAACUCGGAGGAAGGUGGGGAUGACGUCAAAUCAUCAUGCCCCUUAUGUCUAGGGCUGCAAACAUGCUACAAUGGCCGGUACAAAGGCUGCGAUACCGCGAGGUGAGCGAUCCCAAAAGCCGGUCUCAGUUCGGAUUGGGGUCUGCACUCGACCCAUGAAGUUGGAGUCGCUAGUAUCGCAGAUCAGCACGCCGCGUGAUACGUUCCCGGG